UAGGGAAUCUUCCACAAUGGACGCAAGUCUGAUGGAGCAACGCCGCGUGAGUGAAGAAGGUCUUCGGAUCGUAAAGCUCUGUUGUUGGUGAAGAAGGAUAGAGGCAGUAACUGGUCUUUAUUUGACGGUAAUCAACCAGAAAGUCACGGCUAACUACGUGCCAGCAGCCGCGGUAAUACGUAGGUGGCAAGCGUUGUCCGGAUUUAUUGGGCGUAAAGCGAGCGCAGGCGGAAUGAUAAGUCUGAUGUGAAAGCCCACGGCUCAACCGUGGAACUGCAUCGGAAACUGUCAUUCUUGAGUGCAGAAGAGGAGAGUGGAACUCCAUGUGUAGCGGUGGAAUGCGUAGAUAUAUGGAAGAACACCAGUGGCGAAGGCGGCUCUCUGGUCUGCAACUGACGCUGAGGCUCGAAAGCAUGGGUAGCGAACAGGAUUAGAUACCCUGGUG
rnacentral:rRNA from 1 species